UGGCUUAAACCGCUUUCGAGCUACAGCGGAAGAAAAAAAGUCGUCGAAUGUGUUUAGUGCAAAGAUUCGUUCUUUUAAAGUGUCGCAUUUUCUCGCUUCGAGAACAAAAAUAUAAAAAGUUUCAUUCAAUAUCACCCUAUUUGUAGAAUCUACCGGCGAUGUACUUGAACUUUAAAAAAAACAUAACUGCUGAAAAUGGCGGCGGGAAGGAGAGUGCGGAACCAUCAGAAAAAAAGUUUUUAAAAACCAUGGCUACAAAAAAAAUCUGCUUUACUCUUACAUGGGAAAGUGAAAAAUGAAAAGUGAUCAUGUUAAGAGUAGUUUCCUUCAGAAGUUCAUGUUACGCAACCGUCCCCAACAUCCUAGAUACCAGUGCCCAUCCAAUUCAGUUUACUCCAAAUUACAUUAAGAUGUGGCAACAUGGACUGGACAUCACCACCUAUUUACUAGAAUGGAUCCGUUAGAUUGUGGUAUAUUAUAUUAUAUUUGGAUAUUGAGUAAAUAGCAUCUCAAUGUCUUCUUUUUUGGUAGCCUUCAAUUUGAACCUUUUUUUGAGUAUAAUAUCCCUGAGACAUUAUCUAUUUCAAAAUGGGAGUCAGCCUUGAUAGUUUUGUUAUUGGCUAUACCUCCAAUUAAAAACAAACACCAUUUUAACAGCUUAA